rnacentral:rRNA from 1 species
UACGUAGGGGGCAAGCGUUGUCCGGAAUCACUGGGCGUAAAGCGCGCGCAGGCGGCGAUCUACGUCCGGGGUGAAAGCCCAGAGCUACAACUCUGGGACUGCCUUGGAUACGGGAUCGCUUGAGGAUCGGAGAGGCAAGGGGAAUUCCACGUGUAGCGGUGAAAUGCGCAGAUAUCAGGAGGAACACCGGUGGCGAAGGCGGGUCUCUGGGCCGAUACUGACGCUGAGGAGCGAAAGCGUGGGGAGCGAACAGG